rnacentral:rRNA from 1 species
UACGGGGGGGGGCAAGCGUUGUUCGGAAUUACUGGGCGUAAAGGGCGCGUAGGCGGCCUACUAAGUCGGACGUGAAAUCCCUCGGCUCAACCGAGGAACUGCGUCCGAUACUGGCAGGCUUGAAUCCGGGAGAGGGAUGCGGAAUUCCAGGUGUAGCGGUGAAAUGCGUAGAUAUCUGGAGGAACACCGGUGGCGAAGGCGGCAUCCUGGACCGGCAUUGACGCUGAGGCGCGAAAGCCAGGGGGAGCAAACGGG